GACGAACGCUGGCGGCGUGCCUAACACAUGCAAGUCGAACGCUGAAGCCAUCGGGUGUAUUAGUGGCGAACGUGUGAGUAACACGUGGGUGAUCUGCCUUGCACUUUGGGAUGAGCCCGGGAAACUGUGUCUAAUACCGAAUAUGAUCAUGCUCUUCAUGGGGUGUGGUGGAAAGCUUUUGCGGUGUGGGAUGGGGUUGCGGCCUAUCAGCUUGUUGGUGGGGUAAUGGCCUACCCAGGCGACGACGGGUAGGCUGCCUGCGAGGGUAAGCGGCCACACUGGGACUGAGAUACGGCCCAGACUCCUACGGGAGGCAGCAGUGGGGAAUAUUGCACAAUGGGAGCAAGCCAGAUGCAGCGACGCCGCGUGAGGGAUGACGGCAUUCGGGUUGUAAACCUCUUUCAGCAGGGACGAAGCGAAAGUGACGGUACCUGCAGAAGAAGGACCGGCCAACUACGUGCCAGCCGCCGCCGUAA
rnacentral:rRNA from 1 species